CCCAUUCUCAGCGAGCCUCUCACAAGCUUCAAGUCAGAAAUAGACAUGACUCAUGGAAGAUCAUAAACGAACUACUGCGUUUCUCUGAUUAAAACGAAACAUAAACUAUUGACUAUUGUAAAUGAGCUAAUCAAGGAGAAGCCGAAGUCAAAUACUUCUGUCAACGAUGAACCUCAGCCAUUGGACACUGCUAUUCCAACUCAAUCCCUCUACAAUGCAUCUGCACUCCAUUGGAAUGAUCACUUUGUGACGGUUUGGACUUUCAUAUUUCCACAUAAAAUGAUGCAUAAACCCUCCUUGGUAAAAUUGCUAAACCUAAUUUCCAGCAUCACACACCCAUGAUCUGACAUACUUUCUUAUCUUUUACCCAUAAAUUUACUUCACACAUAUAUCAUUAGUCAUUGGACUUGACUCUUGAGCUAAAACUGAUUGUGCUUUUUCAGCAGGAUAGAAAGGA